rnacentral:rRNA from 1 species
UGCGGAAGGAUCAUUAAAGAUUAUGAAUGAAUAGAUUACUGGGGGAAUCGUCUGAACAAGGCCUGCGCUUAAUUGCGCGGCCAGUUCUUGAUUCUCUGCUAUCAGUUUUCUAUUUCUCAUCCUAAACACAAUGGAGUUUUUUCUCUAUGAACUACUUCCCUGGAGAGCUCGUCUCUCCAGUGGACAUAAACACAAACAAUAUUUUGUAUUAUGAAAAACUAUUAUACUAUAAAAUUUAAUAUUCAAAACUUUCAACAACGGAUCUCUUGGUUCUCGCAUCGAUGAAGAACGCAGCGAAUUGCGAUAUGUAUUGUGAAUUGCAGAUUUUCGUGAAUCAUCAAAUCUUUGAACGCACAUUGCGCCCUCUGGUAUUCCAGGGGCAUGCCUGUUUGAGCGUCAUUUCUCUCUCAAACCUUUGGGUUUGGUAGUGAGUGAUACUCGUCUCGGGUUAACUUGAAAGUGGCUAGCCGUUGCCAUCUGCGUGAGCAGGGCUGCGUGUCAAGUCUAUGGACUCGACUCUUGCACAUCUACGUCUUAGGUUUGCGCCAAUUCGUGGUAAGCUUGGGUCAUAGAGACUCAUAGGUGUUAUAAAGACUCGCUGGUGUUUGUCUCCUUGAGGCAUACGGCUUUAACCAAAACUCUCAAAGUUUGACCUCAAAUCAGGUAGGAGUACCCGCUGAACUUAAGCAU